GCAAUGACAAUAUGUAAUAAUCAAUCAUCAAUAAAGAGGAUAUGCAUGACAUUAAAAUGUAUGUGUGUAUUUCUAUUAUUUCCCUGAUGUUUUUUUUCAUGACGACCAAUAAAAAACGACAGUUGUUACCCCCUAUGUUUUAUUUGAUAAAUAUCGACAGUGUUACCCCUUAUGUUUUUUUUCAUGACGAUCAAUAAAAAACAACAGUGUUACCCCUUAUGUUUUUAUUCAUGACGACCAAUGAAAAAACAACAGUGUUACCCCUUAUGUUUUUUUUCGUGACGACCAAUAAAAAACAACAGUGUUACCCCUUAUGUUUUUAUUCAUGACGACCAAUAAAAAACAACAGUGUUACCCCUUAUGUUUUUUUUCAUGACGACCAAUAAAAAAACGACCAAUGAAAAACAUAUGUUUCUUUUCAUGACGACCAAUAAAAAACAACAGUGUUACCCCUUAUGUUUUAUUAGAUAAAUAUCGACAUUCCCACAGAAGACAACAACCGGACUUGAACCCCGGUCUCCAGUGGGUUAGGCGGAGUGCACUCCACUGCACCACUGAGGCAAUGACAAUAUACAAUAAUCAAUCAUCAAUAAAGAGGAUAUACAUGACAUUAAAAUGUAUGUGUGUAUUUCUAUUAUUUCCCUUAUGUUUUUUUUCAUGACGACCAAUAAAAAACGACAGUGUUACCCCCUAUGUUUUAUUUGAUAAAUAUCGACAGUGUUACCCCUUAUGUUUUUAUUCAUGACGACCAAUAAAAAAACAACAGUGUUACCCCCUAUGUUUUAUUUGAUAAAUAUCGACAGUUGUUACCCCUAUGUUUUAUUUGAUAAAUAUCGAC
ensembl:lncRNA